rnacentral:rRNA from 1 species
UACGGGGGGGGCAAGCGUUGUUCGGAAUUACUGGGCGUAAAGGGCUCGUAGGCGGCCAACUAAGUCCGACGUGAAAUCCCCAGGCUUAACCUGGGAACUGCGUCGGAUACUGGAUGGCUUGAAUUCGGGAGAGGGGUGCAGAAUUCCAGGUGUAGCGGUGAAAUGCGUAGAUAUCUGGAGGAAUACCGGUGGCGAAGGCGGCAUCCUGGACCGACAUUGACGCUGAGGAGCGAAAGCCAGGGGAGCAAACGGG